GAUCAUUACCGAGUUAUACAACUCAUCAACCCUGUGAACAUACCUAAAACGUUGCCUCGGCGGGAACAGACGGCCCCGUAACACGGGCCGCCCCCGCCAGAGGACCCCCUAACUCUGUUUCUAUAAUGUUUCUUCUGAGUAAACAAGCAAAUAAAUUAAAACUUUCAACAACGGAUCUCUUGGCUCCGGCAUCGAUGAAGAACGCAGCGAAAUGCGAUAAGUAAUGUGAAUUGCAGAAUUCAGUGAAUCAUCGAAUCUUUGAACGCACAUUGCGCCCGCCAGUAUUCUGGCGGGCAUGCCUGUUCGAGCGUCAUUACAACCCUCAGGCCCCCGGGCCUGGCGUUGGGGAUCGGCGGAAGCCCCCUGCGGGCACAACGCCGUCCCCCAAAUACAGUGGCGGUCCCGCCGCAGCUUCCAUUGCGUAGUAGCUAACACCUCGCAACUGGAGAGCGGCGCGGCCACGCCGUAAAACACCCAACUUCUGAAUGUUGACCUCGAAUCAGGUAGGAAUACCCGCUGAAC
rnacentral:rRNA from 1 species